ensembl:ncRNA C54D10.15 ncRNA
AAGUAUCCAAUUUUAAUUAAGGAUCCUCUUGAUGCACAGAAAAGUGUCAAAAACUGGCACUUUCAAGUGAUGUCGUCAG